rnacentral:rRNA from 1 species
GAGACCCGUACCCACAGUUGCCAGCGGCUGCUCCGGCAGGCUGGGUACACUAUGGGGACCGCCUCUGCUAAAGAGGAGGAAGGAGCGGGCGACGGUAGGUCAGUAUGCCCCGAAUUCUCCGGGCUACACGCGGGCUACGAUGGAUGGGACAAUGGGCUCCGACACCGAAAGGCGAAGGCGAUCUCUUAAACCCAUUCUUAGUUCGGAUUGAGGGCUGAAACUCGCCCUCAUGAAGCUGGAAUCCGUAGUAAUCGCGUUUCAACAUAGCGCGGUGAAUAC